ACCUGGCAGGGUUAGCUCAGUCACUAGAGCCUGAGAUUCUCAAUCUCAGUCAUGGGUUUGUGCCCCAUGUUGGGCA